AAUAGUGUUCCAACGGGAUAUAAUUUAGUAAAUAAUGAUUACCACGUACGAGGGCAGGCGGAGUAGCAAUUUAUCACAACGUAAAUGAUGGAGCCCGUGUUGUUACGCCACAAAUGGAUCUCAAUGCACAACAGCUAGAAUCAUUGUCUGUUCAGCUUUCGAAAGUUGGAGAAAUAUGUGCCUGUGAGAGCAGAAAUGACCAAGGAGAUUUAAUUUUGAUCGUAGCAAUUUACAUCUUUCCCAACCAAUCAAUAAAAUCAGUUAUUGAAUUUAUACAUGAAAAUUUGAUCAAAUAUACCCCAGAGGUAUCGCGAAUUCUCAAAAAGAAUUAUGAUAAAAUUCCGAUGAUUUUAAGUGGGGAUUUUAACAUAAAUUUUGCAUCAGAUACAGCGCUUCCUUUGAUUGAGUUUCUCGAUACAACAUUUUAUUUAAAAAUGUGUAACAAUCGCACUCAAUCAACUACAAGAUCAAAAACGGUAAUAGAUGCAGUGUUCCAAAGAUAUAUCAACCAAAUUGAAACUAAAAUAUUUGUAUCGUAUUUUAGUUAUCAUAAGCCUCUUGUAUCAUUUGUUGAAACUGAAAAUAUGGAACUUGAGUAAUAGAUUAUGUAACAUAUGUUAAAUAAAAUAUAAAAUAUCUUUUAAAAUUAA